AGUCAGCAAAAAACAUGGAUAGAUAACUUAUGUAGCAAGAAAUUUAAAUCAUAUAAAAUAAUUCAGCCUUAUUUGAAGUUAAACUAAAAUCAUAUAAAAAUAAUUCUGCCUUAUUUGGAGUAAAACUAAUGUGCAUUAAAGCAAUGCAAAUUCAUUUCUCACCAUUCAUAAUAGGAAAGAUAAAAAUAAAGAUAUGCUUUGUAUAGUCGAGGAUUUAAUAAGAGGAGCAGGCAUUCUCAUUCACUGAUGAUAGAAUUAAAAACUGGAGAUCGGAUGGGCGGGGCCAAGAUGGCUGACUGGAAGCUGUGGCGUUCAGAGGCUUCCAUCGGAAAAAAACAUAAUAAGCCUGUGAAUCCUUCACAGGCAACCAAGGUAUCCAGGCUCUCUCUCAUCAAAAUUGUCUAGAAGGCUGGCGUGACCCACUGAGAGAAGGAAGAGCACUGUGGUGUGGUGGCCCACACCGGGAAGGGGAACCUCCUCUCCACAGCCACGGGAGGCGAGCACCGGAGAUUGUCAGAAGAUCUCAUUUCUAGUCUUAGCUGUAGGACUGUGGGCAACUCACUAAUUCAAGAUGGUAACUGCUCUGCGAGCCUACGUCCUCGAGUGAUUACAAUUAGCCAAGUGCCCCUGCUAAUCUAACGUGUGUCUGAGUAAGCAAAGCUCCUUUGUUGUUUUGAGUCACUGUGAUUUGGGUUUUUUAUUACUGCAACAUAACCUAGCUUAUCCUGAUUAUGCAUCCACAUAGAAUGUAAACAGCAAGAUUCUACCUUGUAUUUUAUGUAGAA